GACGAACGCUGGCGGCGUGCUUAACACAUGCAAGUCGAACGGAAAGGCCUCUUUCGGGGGGUACUCGAGUGGCGAACGGGUGAGUAACACGUGAGUAACCUGCCCUUGACUUUGGGAUAACUUCAGGAAACUGGGGCUAAUACCGGAUAGGAGCUCCUGCUGCAUGGUGGGGGUUGGAAAGUUUCGGCGGUUGGGGAUGGACUCGCGGCUUAUCAGCUUGUUGGUGGGGUAGUGGCUUACCAAGGCUUUGACGGGUAGCCGGCCUGAGAGGGUGACCGGCCACAUUGGGACUGAGAGACGGCCCAGACUCCUACGGGAGGCAGCAGUGGGGAAGAUUGCACAAUGGGUGGAAGCCUGAUGCAGCAACGCCGGGUGCGGGAUGACGGCCUUCGGGUUGGAAACCGCUUUCGCUCAUGACGAAGCUUUGUGUGACGGUAGUGGGUAAAGAAGCACCGGCUAACUACGUG
rnacentral:rRNA from 1 species